rnacentral:rRNA from 1 species
UAGGGAAUCUUCGGCAAUGGACGAAAGUCUGACCGAGCAACGCCGCGUGAGUGAAGAAGGUUUUCGGAUCGUAAAACUCUGUUGUUAGAGAAGAACGUUGCAUAGAGUGGAAAAUUAUGCAAGUGACGGUAUCUAACCAGAAAGGGACGGCUAACUACGUGCCAGCAGCCGCGGUAAUACGUAGGUCCCGAGCGUUGUCCGGAUUUAUUGGGCGUAAAGCGAGCGCAGGUGGUUUAAUAAGUCUGAUGUAAAAGGCAGUGGCUCAACCAUUGUGUGCAUUGGAAACUGUUAGACUUGAGUGCAGUAGAGGAGAGUGGAAUUCCAUGUGUAGCGGUGAAAUGCGUAGAUAUAUGGAGGAACACCGGUGGCGAAAAGCGGCUCUCUGGACUGUCACUGACACUGAGGCUCGAAAGCGUGGGUAGCAAACAGGAUUAGAUACCCUGGUAGUCCACGCCGUAAACGAUGAGUGCUAGUUGUUUGGGGCUAUCCAGCCCUAAGUGACGCAGCAAA